UGCCAGCCGCCGCGGUAAUACGGAGGGUCCAAGCGUUAUCCGGAUUUAUUGGGUUUAAAGGGUGCGCAGGCGGACCUAUCAGUCAGUGGUGAAAUCCCGGGGCUCAACUCCGGAACUGCCAUUGAUACUGUAGGUCUUGAGUUUGGUUGAAGUGGGCGGAAUGUAUCAUGUAGCGGUGAAAUGCAUAGAGAUGAUACAGAACUCCGAUAGCGAAAGCAGCUCACUAAACUGACACUGACGCUCAGGCACGAAAGCGUGGGGAGCAAACAGGAUUAGAUA
rnacentral:rRNA from 1 species